rnacentral:rRNA from 1 species
AUUGAACGCUGGCGGCAUGCUUUACACAUGCAAGUCGAACGGUAACAGGCCUUCGGGUGCUGACGAGUGGCGAACGGGUGAGUAAUGCAUCGGAACGUACCCAGAGGUGGGGGAUAACGCAGCGAAAGCUGUGCUAAUACCGCAUGUGAUCUGAGGAUGAAAGCGGGGGACCGAGCAGCAAUGUUUGGCCUCGCGCCUUUGGAGCGGCCGAUGUCGGAUUAGCUAGUUGGUGGGGUAAAGGCCUACCAAGGCGACGAUCCGUAGCUGGUCUGAGAGGACGACCAGCCACACUGGGAGUGAGACACGGCCCAGACACCUAGGGGAAGAAGCAGUGGGGAAUUUUGGGCAAUGGGCGCGAGCCUGAUCCAGCAAUGCCGCGUGCGGGAAGAAGGCCUUCGGGUUGUAAACCGCUUUUGGCAGGAAGGAAACGGUGUCCGCUAAUAACGGGCGCUAAUGACGGUACCUGCAGAAUAAGCACCGGCUAACUACGUG